UGGGGAAUCUUGGACAAUGGGGGCAACCCUGAUCCAGCCAUGCCGCGUGAGUGAUGAAGGCCUUAGGGUCGUAAAGCUUCUUUCGCCUGUGAAGAUAAUGACGGUAGCAGGUAAAGAAACCCCGGCUAACUCCGUGCCAGCAGCCGCGGUAAUACGGAGGGGGUUAGCGUUGUUCGGAAUUACUGGGCGUAAAGCGCACGUAGGCGGACCAGAAAGUUGGGGGUGAAAUCCCGGGGGCUCAACCCCGGAACUGCCUCCAAAACUAUUGGUCUAGAGUUCGAGAGAGGUGAGUGGAAUUCCAAGUGUAGAGGUGAAAUUCGUAGAUAUUUGGAGGAACACCAGUGGCGAAGGCGGCUCACUGGCUCGAUACUGACGCUGAGGUGCGAAAGUGUGGGGAGCAAACAGGAUUAGAUACCCUGGUAGUCCACACCGUAAAACGAUGAAUGCCAGUCGUCGGGUAGCAUGCUAUUCGGUGACACACCU
rnacentral:rRNA from 1 species